UCUUUUUCCUCUCCAUGCUGAGGUGUAUGAUACAUGCACACCAACCCUUCGAUGAACCAAAUCGAUCAGAACUUUGGGAACUGGUGUGUCAAAUGUACCAGGAUAAUCUUGAGCCAAAACAGAUGCAACGAUUUGUGAUGUGCCUUUCCUUCUAUCAGGCAGUGUUCUUGUAGUAACAACAGAACAUGUAUGAUGCUUGAUGUAACUUCUAACCGUCCAAAGAUCUGUAUUCUUUAACUUUGCAACUCGCACAAACCACUUGCAGUCGUCUUUGGCUCCUCGGAAUUUAAGCACAAAUCUCUUAGUACCCGACUUAAUUAUAUCAAACUCAAAACAUUUCUGAUGUGAAGCCGUCUGAAUAUGGACUUUUGCUUCCUCCUUGGUUCUAGAUUCUUGACCUAAAACCAAACAUGUACCAUCAUCUCGUGGCUAAUAGACAACUCGUGGUCUUACUUUUGUAUCUUCAAACACAUGCUAAUCUCUUUCCGUGAAAUUCUCAUGCAUCUCAAUGUCUCCGUGAAAAGUGAGCACACCACUAGUACCUUCAUCACCAGUUGCAUCAUUCUCAGUACCAUCUUCAUCACCAGCCUCUCUAUCAGGCAAUGUUCAUGUAACGACAGAACAUGUAUGUUGCUUGAUGUAACUUCUAACCGUCCAAAUAUCUGAAUUCUUUAACAUUUCAACUUGCACAAACCACUCGCACCCAUCUUUGGCUCUUCGACAUUUAACCACAAAUCUCUUAGUAUCCGACUUAAUUAUAUCAAAUUCAAAAGAUUUCUGAUAUGACGCCGUUUGAAUAAGAACUUGUGCUGCCUCCUUGGUUAUAAAUUCUUGACCUAUAACCAAAUCCAUACCAUCAUCCCGUCUCUAAUUAACACCAUCAUGCAUCUCAAUGUCUUUGUGAAAAGUAAGCACACCACCAUUACCAUCUUCAUCACCAGCCUCUGUAGUCUCUUUAUCAGAUAUACCGACAUAGACAUCAGUUUCAUCAUUCUCAGUACCAUUCUCAUCACAGCCUCUAUAGCCUCUCUAUCAGAUAGACCGACAUAGCCGUCAGUUUCAUCAUCCUCUUCUGAAAGUUGCACUUCUUCAUUGAUGAACUCCACAUG
rnacentral:lncRNA from 1 species